AGCUUUCUGCAGUGGCAGUAUCAUAGGCAAUGAGGUUUAUCCGAGGCACAGUUAUUGCUAACUGAAAAAAAAUAGUGAGACAAACCACAGAAUGGGAGAAAAUAUUUUCUAAAAAUCAUAUAUCUGAUAGGGGAUUUGUAUU
rfam:Camelus ferus unplaced genomic scaffold scaffold200, whole genome shotgun sequence.